AGUGAACGCUGGCGGUAGGCCUAACACAUGCAAGUCGAACGGCAGCACAGUAAGAGCUUGCUCUUACGGGUGGCGAGUGGCGGACGGGUGAGGAAUACAUCGGACUCUACUUUUUCGUGGGGGAUAACGUAGGGAAACUUACGCUAAUACCGCAUACGACCUACGGGUGAAAGCAGUGGAUCUUCGGACCUUGCGCGAUUGAAUGAGCGGAUGUCGGAUUAGAUAGUUGGCGGGGUAAAGGCCCACCAAGGCGACGAUCCGUAGCUGGUCUGAGAGGAUGAUCAGCCACACUGGAACUGAGACACGGUCCAGACUCCUACGGGAGGCAGCAGUGGGGAAUAGUGGACAAUGGGCGCAAGCCUGAUCCAGCCAUACCGCGUGGGUGAAGAAGGCCUUCGGGUUGUAAAGCCCUUUUGUUGGGAAAGAAAAGCAGCAGGUUAAGACCCCGCGGUUCUGACGGUACCCAAAGAAUAAGCACCGGCUAACUUCGUG
rnacentral:rRNA from 1 species